rnacentral:rRNA from 1 species
AGUGAACGCUGGCGGCAGGCCUAAUACAUGCAAGUCGAACGGCAGCACAGUGGAGCUUGCUCCAUGGGUGGCGAGUGGCGGACGGGUGAGGAAUACAUGGGAAUCUGCCCAGUCGUGGGGAUAACGUAUGGAAACGUACGCUAAUACCGCAUGCGCCCUUCGGGGGAAAGUCGGGGACCGCAAGGCCUGACGCGAUUGGAUGAGCCCAUGUUCGAUUAGCUAGUUGGCGGGUAACGGCCCACCAAGGCGACGAUCGAUAGCUGGUCUGAGAGGAUGAUCAGCCACACUGGAACUGAGACAGGUCCAGACUCCUACGGGAGCAGCAGUA